rnacentral:piRNA from 1 species
UAGGCUAAGAUGCACAGCACCACUGUUGCUA